rnacentral:rRNA from 1 species
GAUGAACGCUGGCGGCGUGCCUAAUACAUGCAAGUCGAGCGAACGGACGAGAAGCUUGCUUCUCUGAUGUUAGCGGCGGACGGGUGAGUAACACGUGGAUAACCUACCUAUAAGACUGGGAUAACUUCGGGAAACCGGAGCUAAUACCAGAUAAUAUUUUGAACCGCAUGGUUCAAAAGUGAAAGACGGUCUUGCUGUCACUUAUAGAUGGAUCCGCGCUGCAUUAGCUAGUUGGUAAGGUAACGGCUUACCAAGGCAACGAUGCAUAGCCGACCUGAGAGGGUGAUCGGCCACACUGGAACGGAGACACGGUCCAGACUCCUACGGGAGGCAGCAGUAGGGAAUCUUACGCAAUGGGCGAAAGCCUGACGGAGCAACGCCGCGUGAGUGAUGAAGGUCUUCGGAUCGUAAAACUCUGUUAUUAGGGAAGAACAAAUGUGUAAGUAACUGUGCACAUCUUGACGGUACCUAAUCAGAAAGCCACGGCUAACUACGUG